rnacentral:rRNA from 1 species
AUUGAACGCUGGCGGCAGGCCUAACACAUGCAAGUCGAACGAGUGGCGGACGGGUGAGUAAUGUCUGGGAAACUGCCCGAUGGAGGGGGAUAACUACUGGAAAAGGUAGCUAAUACCGCAUACCAUCGGAUGUGCCCAGAUGGGAUUAGCUAGUAGGUGGGGUAAUGGCUCACCUAGGCGACGAUCCCUAGCUGGUCUGAGAGGAUGACCGGCCACACUGUAACUGAGACACGGUCCAGCCUCCUACGGGAUGAAGCAGGGGGGAAUAAUGCACAAUGGGCGCAAGCCUGAUGCAGCCAUGCGGCGUGUAUGAAGAAGGCCUUCGGGUUGUAAAGUACUGUCAGCGGGGAGGCGUUACCCGCAGAAGAAGCACCGGCUAACUCCGUGCCAGCCGCCGCGGUAAUUC